GACGAACGCUGGCGGCGUGCUUAACACAUGCGAGUCGAACGGAAAGGCCUGUCCUUCCUUGUGUUGGACGGGUACUCGAGUGGCGAACGGGUGAGUAACACGUGAGUGAUCUGCCCCCAACUUGGGUAUAAGCCUGGGAAACUGGGUCUAAUUCCCGAUAGGACUGCAGGGUGGUGCCUGUGGUGGAAAACGAUUUUCUAGUGGUUGGGGAUGAGCUCGCGGCCUAUCAGCUUGUUGGUGGGGUAAUGGCCUACCAAGGCGGCGACGGGUAGCCGGCCUGAGAGGGUGGACGGCCACAUUGGGACUGAGAUACGGCCCAGACUCCUACGGGAGGCAGCAGUGGGGAAUAUUGCACAAUGGGCGGAAGCCUGAUGCAGCGACGCCGCGUGGGGGAUGACGGCCUUCGGGUUGUAAACUCCUUUCGACCGCGAGGAAGCCGCCUGGUUGGAAGGGUGGUGACGGUAGUGGUAGAAGAAGCACCGGCUAACUACGU
rnacentral:rRNA from 1 species